rnacentral:rRNA from 1 species
AGAGUUUGAUCAUGGCUCAGGACGAACGCUGACGGUGUGCUUUAGACAUGCAAGUCGAACGAGAAAGCCCUUCGGGGUGAGUACAGUGGCGAACGGGUGAGUAACACGUGGGUAACCUGCCCCUCGCAGAGGGACAACCGGGGGGAAACCCCGGCUAAUACCUCGUACGCUUGCCGGGCCGCAUGGCUCGGCAAGGAAAGGUAGCUUCGGCCAUCCGGCGAGGGAUGGGCCCGCGGUCCAUUAGCUAGUUGGUGAGGUAACGGCCCACCAAGGCGACGAUGGAUAGCUGGUCCGAGAGGACGAUCAGCCACACUGGGACUGAGACACGGCCCAGACUCCUACGGGAGGCAGCAGUCGGGAAUCUUGCGCAAUGGGCGAAAGCCUGACGCAGCAACACCGUGUGGGCGACGAAGGCCUUCGGGUCGUAAAGCCCUGUUGUUGGGGACGAAGGGCGAAGGGUUAAUAGCCCCUAGCCUGACGGUACCCUUCGAGGAAGCCCCGGCUAACUACGUGCCAGCAGCCGCGGUAAUACGUAGGGGGCGAGCGUUGUCCGGAAUUAUUGGGCGUAAAGAGCGUGUAGGCGGUUCGGUAAGUCUGCCGUGAAACCCUAGGGCUCAACCCUAGGCGUGCGGUGGAUACUGCCGGGCUAGAGGGUGGUAGAGGCGAGUGGAAUUCCCGGUGUAGCGGUGAAAUGCGCAGAUAUCGGGAGGAACACCAGUAGCGAAGGCGGCUCGCUGGGCCAUUCCUGACGCUGAGACGCGAAAGCAUGGGGAGCGAACAGGAUUAGAUACCCCCGUAGUCC